rnacentral:sRNA from 2 species
AGACUACCCGAUGCGUGUGGGUGAGACCCUGCGUUCAGGUUCGAGCCGAGGAUGCGAGACAGCAACGCGCGAGCGUUGACCCGAAGGGCGAGUCCGCAGGACGAGUCAUCCCGCACGACCUAUUA